AAUGAUACCCGGGUAGUCCACGCCGUAAACGGUGGGCACUAGAUGUGGGGCUCUUUCCAUGAGUUCCGCGUCGCAGCUAACGCAUUAAGUGCCCCGCCUGGGGAGUACGGCCGCAAGGCUAAAACUCAAAGGAAUUGACGGGGGCCCGCACAAGCGGCGGAGCAUGCGGAUUAAUUCGAUGCAACGCGAAGAACCUUACCAAGGCUUGACAUAUACGGUCUAUCCCUAGAGAUAGGGAGUGCUUCGGCGCCGUAUACAGGUGGUGCAUGGUUGUCGUCAGCUCGUGUCGUGAGAUGUUGGGUUAAGUCCCGCAACGAGCGCAACCCUCGUUCUAUGUUGCCAGCACGUAAUGGUGGGGACUCAUAGGAGACUGCCGGGGUCAACUCGGAGGAAGGUGGGGAUGACGUCAAAUCAUCAUGCCCCUUAUGUCUAGGGCUGCAAACAUGCUACAAUGGCUGGUACAACGGGCUGCUAUACCGCGAGGUGGAGCCAAUCCCAUAAAGCCAGUCUCAGUUCGGAUUGG
rnacentral:rRNA from 1 species